rnacentral:rRNA from 1 species
GCACAAGCGGCGGAUGAUGUGGAUUAAUUCGAUGCAACGCGAAAACCUUACCUACCCUUGACAUGUCCGGAACUUGCCAGAGAUGGCUUGGUGCCCGAAAGGGAAUCGGAACACAGGUGCUGCAUGGCUGUCGUCAGCUCGUGUCGUGAGAUGUUGGGUUAAGUCCCGCAACGAGCGCAACCCUUAUCAUUAGUUGCUACGCAAGGGCACUCUAAUGAGACUGCCGGUGACAAACCGGAGGAAGGUGGGGAUGACGUCAAGUCCUCAUGGCCCUUAUGGGUAGGGCUUCACACGUCAUACAAUGGUCGGUACAGAGGGUUGCCAAGCCGCGAGGCGGAGCCAAUCCCACAAAGCCGAUCGUAGUCCGGAUUGUUCUCUGCAACUCGAGAGCAUGAAGUCGGAAUCGCUAGUAAUCGCAGGUCAGCAUACUGCGGUGAAUACGUUCCCGGGUCUU